UUGAGGAUUUGCCACGCCUUUAAUUAUAUUUUGAGAAUUUGCCCCCGUUUACCCUGUAACUGAGGAUUUACCACACAUUUGCUGUAAUCUUGAGGAUUUGCCCUCUGUACACGGUUUGGAUCAUUUGGCAGAUUAUAGUAUAAAUUAUGUGACCAAAAUGCCCCUGGUCCAAAUCAGGAUGAUUAAUCCCAAUUGGACAUGUACCUUAUCUCUUCUUCCUUUUGCCUGUACUCUGUUCGUCUGGAUGGCCGCCCUGCAACCUCGCCGUACGUCGUGCGACCUCGCAGCGGCUAUACCGGCAAGGGCGUCCUCCCCUGAGCUGCUGCUGUGUGGUGUUGUGCCUCCUUGAGCUUGCGACGCCCUCACUGUGCGCAACCUUCCACGAGCUGCCGCUGCAUGCUGCUGUGCGUCCGUGAGAUGCAGCGAGGUCUCGCUGUGUGGAACCUUCCCCGAGCUGCUGCUUCCUCCUGCUGACCCUCGCCGAGCUUGCUGCUGCCGCAAUGGGCUCUGCCUUCCCCGAGCUGCUGCACAGGUUUCUUAACAUUAACAAUCAAGUGGAAACUAAUGGCAGGACUCUGAAUUUGCAAAAAAUCUGGAGAUGAUUUUUUUGGAGUUUGUUGAUCAACUAUGUUUUAGGGAUAAAUCUGGGAGUUGGUUCAGACUCAUACUAAGGCAAAAGGUGGACGUAUUGAUAUGUUGCA